rnacentral:rRNA from 1 species
UACGUAGGGUGCAAGCGUUGUCCGGAAUUAUUGGGCGUAAAGAGCUCGUAGGCGGUUUGUCGCGUCCGUUGUGAAAGCUUGGGGCUCAACCCCAAGUCUGCAGUGGAUACGGGCAGACUAGAGUCAGGUAGGGGAGAACGGAAUUCCUGGUGUAGCGGUGAAAUGCGUAGAGAUCCGGAGGAACACCAGUGGCGAAGGCGACACGCUGGGCCGUACCUGACGCUAAAGCGCGACAGCAUGGGGAGCAAACGGG